rnacentral:lncRNA from 1 species
CUUUAAAAUCGAAGGUAUAGAUGAAAAUAUAAGGCAAGAAAUGAGGGUUGUUGUAGUUGUAGUGGAACACAAUAUGCUAACAUCUCCAUUAUAUAUAUGUUGUGUUAAAAUUCUCCAACUUGUUUUCUUCCAUUGGUUUCCUGAUGAUGAAUAAUGCCAAAAUUGACAUCAUCACAGCGUCCUUCCGGAGGCAAUCUAUUGAUUCAAUUAACAUAAGCCAAAUCAUGAUCAAUGAAAUGCAGUUGUCAAUCCAUAUAUAAACAAAAAAGGGAAGAAAACAAAGACAUACAACAACAGAAGUGCUACAGAAUUCUGGCAUCACUGCUUAAGAUAAAAUAAAAGAGUUACAUCGAAAAGAUUAAGAUAGUUAAUUUGGAAGUGUGGUGCUGAGGCUGAUGCGAAUGAUAGGAAAAUGAUGUUUGCUACUGAACCCAGCAAGCCUGAAGAAGACACAUCAAACUCAUGAUAUGUUGUUGGUAAUUCUUUAAAACACAGAUUCUAACUUACUCACUGCAAAUUUGCCUUGAUAUCUCAGCAUUCAAAGGGGAUAACGGCAAAGGAGAUGCAAAAUGCUGGUAGUUGAUGUACUUGCAGUUGUCUCCUUUGAAUGCUAAUGCUUUUCCCACUCGGGUAUACAGGCAUGACUUGUUCCAGCAAAAGGAAGAUGAAAAAAGUAUGUCAAUUCUUACUUAAACUUAUGUAUAAAGGGUAUAUAUCCAAGUGGAGCGACCAAUCAUUUUCACCUCCCAUUUUAGUAAUAAAAAUGACAAGCAUCUACACACAAAAUAAUUGUGGCUCGCUUCACUUCAACUCUCAGAACAUCUCAGUCG